CAAUUCCAGAAACCAAGAAAGGACCCCAGCCUUGCCUGUCAUUUACUUCCUGCUGCUCUUCCUAAGGCUGGCAUUUGUAGGACCGGCUGGGGAAGAAGCCAGCUAUGUAUGGACAAGCAGGAAGGUCCCCCUACUCCACACAACCGGGCUAGAGGGACAGACAGCCCCCGACACACACACAAUGGAAGGAAGCAAAGGAAAGACAUUUCUGGAGCACUUACUACAUUUUUACAGAAGAAGUUUGAUGACCCUGGCUCUAAAAGGUACCACCAGCCUACCUCAACUCCACAGCCCCACAGGGUUCUAAACACUCUGCCUGCCUGUGAGGAGUUGCUCUAUUUCUCUGAAUGCUGAGCCUGCUGGAAGAUCUUGGAAGGAAAGCAGAUCGUAAAUCAUCUUACCAGACCUGGACUGCUUAAAAUCAGCAUUGCACAACGGCUUCCUCACACCACCGCCUGUGUUUACAGAUGAGGAAGCCAAGGAAGCCGAGUGCCCUGCAGGCCGAGCGGCUCCCGCAGGAGCUCCUCAGGGUGGCAGUGGGGCUGAGGCUUCCAGGCUGACACCAAGGGGGCUUCCUUUGGCGGCUAUAGCCCCCAUCUCAGAUGCAGAGUAGAACCCCCACCCCCAGAGCAUGCAGCCUCACCCACACCCCUCCCUAGGCCACUGCUCCCCAGAGUCUGCCAUCCCCCAAUCCCUGACGAUGACCCUGAGGUUCGCCAAAGAGCACUCAGAAGCCCAGGAAACUCACACGUCUUAGCCAUAAACAACGUACCCAUCUCCCACUCCUGCACACAUCCUUCAACUCAGGCCUCCCUGUGGGCAGGGGAGUGCAGCCCAGGCCCUGUACCUUCUCUCAGGCUCUCAGAAGCUCAGAUCUCCACGUAGGACCUAGGCUGGGCCCUCCACCCUGUCUUUUUGUUCUGAUUUCUGUUUCUGACUUUUCUCUCUCACAGAGAAAUAUAUACACAGUCACUGACACACUCAUAUGGAGAUGAAUCAGGCCAAGCAGGAGAAGGGCUGCAACACCAGUGGCCAGGCAGGGUUUGAAUGGUGCGGGAUGCUCAAGUUCUUUAUUUGUACCUCUUUUACAUAUAUUUGCAUGGGCUGC